AGUUUUGUUAUUCUUGAUCAAAAGAUGGUGUAGGAAUUGUUUCGCAUUACUUCAGUAUGAUCGAGAGAUCGAAUAUGUUAUUUCGAUAUUUGCCAUCUAGGUAACUGCAAUUAGAAGUAAAAAAAAACAACUUGCUGUGGAUCUUUUUGAAGUGAUAUACGUAAGGUCUACAUCAAGAACUGCCUUGUAUUAUUACUUUUGGUUCAUAACGGUCCAAUAUCACCCUUACUUUAUAUGAAGUUUAAAUCAGACUUUUUGGUCUGAUUACUGGACAGUGGCUUUCCAUCGAGUUUGUCUUCCUCUAUGGCAGUAUCCAGGGUCAUAACCCAUUACCUUGAGGUGGGGGAUCACCAUGUACAAGGAUGGAUUCUUGUGGACAGUGUCGAGAUCGAGUGGAAUAAGCAGCUUUGGCAAUACAAAUUGUGAAAACUGACAGAAAAGCUGCAGUUACUCAGCUGGUCUAGAAAUCCUCUCCUUUCAUAGGACCUGAAAGAAAUACAGUUAGCUGAACAUUCAGCAUGAAGUUUCAGCAGUCCACCAAGCUGGGAUGCUGAAAGCUGAGCAUGUAUAAAUGAAACCAGCCUGAAAAGUACACAAGCAAUUAAGAAAGGGUGUUAAUGUGGACAUUAAACUGUGUAGUAAAUCAAGAGACACUAUUCACUACCCUGUUAUUACUCCAUAUUAAAUGUUCUAAAUUACAUUAUUGUUGCUGUUGUAAUUAUUAUUAUUAUUUGUAUCCAAUAAGACUACAGCAUAAAAUAUAAGGAAUAAGAGCAAUUCUAUACCAAGUGUAAUUGCAUGGUUUAUAUAGUUUUCAGGCCAUAUCUUGAUUUAGUGACUACUAUUAUGAAUUUAAGUAACACCAUUACACAAAGAGGCAGUUGUGUAAAGGUAUUUAAUUGUUUUCUGGCAUUUUAUAAUUAAUGACAAUCAUAUGUAGAAAUUUAAUUAUCAUAACAUGUAUUAUUUCAUCAUUAUAAUAUAAUACAAAUGAAACAACUGCAAAAACUAA